rnacentral:rRNA from 1 species
GAUGAACGCUGGCGGCGUGCCUAAUACAUGCAAGUCGAGCGAACAGAUGAGGAGCUUGCUCCUCUGACGUUAGCGGCGGACGGGUGAGUAACACGUGGAUAACCUACCUAUAAGACUGGGAUAACUUCGGGAAACCGGAGCUAAUACCGGAUAAUAUAUUGAACCGCAUGGUUCAAUAGUGAAGGACGGUUUUGCUGUCACUUAUAGAUGGAUCCGCGCCGCAUUAGCUAGUUGGUAAGGUAACGGCUUACCAAGGCGACGAUGCGUAGCCGACCUGAGAGGGUGAUCGGCCACACUGGAACUGAGACACGGUCCAGACUCCUACGGGAGGCAGCAGUAGGGAAUCUUCCGCAAUGGGCGAAAGCCUGACGGAGCAACGCCGCGUGAGUGAUGAAGGUCUUCGGAUCGUAAAACUCUGUUAUUAGGGAAGAACAAAUGUGUAAGUAACUAUGCACGUCUUGACGGUACCUAAUCAGAAAGCCACGGCUAACUACGUG